rnacentral:lncRNA from 1 species
CAUAGAAAUGCACUGCAGCAGUGAUUGCAUUUCUAUUUGUUGUCUGAAACCAUCUGGGAUCUGUGCUUGGAACUGCUUAAGAACAACCUGUCACUGCUGAGCUGUGGCUUGCUUCUCAGAGUGAAGUGCCUGGAUGAAAGCACCAUGAUUAGGUAAAAUAAACCGUUAGGACUAUUGUUGAAAACAUUUUAUUAUCUGGAACUGAAGCCGUAGCCAUUAGCAGAAGAGCAGGGGAGGUGGGAGGAAGUGACUGAAAAUAAUUUCUUUACUCAGAAUUUUACUAAGCAGAGUGUAUGGAAAUCCCAUAAACUUGGAGGGCUUUGCUUUAUUGACACAAUCUUUCCAGCUCUUUAGAUUGCAGUAUAAAGUUAUAUUUAGUUCUUCAGAUCAUAAUGUUCCCAACAGUGUACAACCCAAAUUCAGCAAAGCAUUUGGGCAUGUGCGUAACUUCAGGCCCUUAAGUAAUCCCAUUGCUGGACUGCAAAAUACUUAAGCAUGCCAGUGCGUGGGCUUCUUCUCAUUUUGCACUUUAUUGACUGGCUCAGAGGUAAGCCCUAAUACAGCUUUAUGUAUGCCACAGAGAUUCUCUUUAGGCUGAGAGAGCUGUGGCAUAUACAUUUUUAAGCAAUGGACUUAGCUAUUUUUAGAGGGUUUGUUUCCAUUUUCUAAAUGCAUCCGAUCAAUAGAUGUUUUGUACAACUCCAGAAAUACAACAUAUGCCUAUUUAUUUCAUUUUUAUUUGAAGAAUGUGUGCAGUGCUAUCUAGCAAGAAGGAGAGCCCCUAAUGAGCAACUAUAUAUAAGACAGUUUCCGUCUGAUUCUUUGGAAUCCAGAAGGAACAAACAAGCUUCCUCCCACUGGCUCUAAGAUUUCUUUUUGUACAUGGUGUUGGAAACUUGUGCAUGCAGUAAUGGCACUAACAGAUGGGAGGUUUAAUGCAUGAAACCAGACCUUUUGAAUAAACAUUUGCUGAAAUUGUUCCUUUGUGAUAAACAGGUCCAAGGUGGAAGGAGCACUGGUCUGGCACCAGAUGUCUUAACAGAGCAGUAUGAGCACUUUCAGACAGUUGCUGGUGAGGCUCAGGUGUGUCAAAUCACCCACAGCCCACAAAAGGACAGUGCCCAUCCCUGCAGUAGGUUCAGUAGAAUCAGUAGUUUCAGAGUAGGUAGCACAACAAUCACCACUCCAAAACAGCCAUAGUAGCUAUAAACACACAGGUUAUUUGUUACCUUUGAACAACAAACCAACACCACCAGAACUGGCUUAUGAAUAUAAAGAACAUUUUUACUGGAAUAAGUAUAUACCUUCAUAAACCAACUAGACAAUGAGCAAACUAAAGUGCAAUGUGCAUAAUCAAGCCUGGAGAUACUCAUAAACAUAGAAUGUACCAGUGUCUCUCUUGUUGCUAUACUGGUUAUGUAUGCGAUAAAUAUGUCAUAACACAGCUGUGCUUGUGGGAUUUUAUAUGUUGGCAGUACUACCCAUGCAAUCAGGACUAGAAUUUCUGAGCAUAGCAUAGCAUAGCGCGGGUGGCACUGUGGGUUAAACCACAGAGCCUAGGACUUGCCGAUCAGAAGGUUGGCGGUUCGAAUCCCCGGGAUGGGGUGAGCUCCCGUUGCUCGGUCCCUGCUCCUGCCAACCUAUGGUGACUUCAGCAGUAAGCCAGUUCAGUCUUACUUGCUUUAUCAGCUCCUAGAGUGUUAUCAUAAGUCGGGUAGUAAUAACCACUUCGGCUGUCAUACAGCAUGAAAUUGAAACCUAUGAUUUUUUAAAACACUUUUCCUAAAUGGCCAAGCAAUAUUGAAAUCAUUUCUGUGGAGUGUAAAAUAUCGAGUUUUUUUUAUUUCAUAAAGGAAUAAUUGCACAGUGCAAAAGUUUAAAAAUGCAGUUAAGAUCCCAACUUGCAAAGUUUGCCACAGAAGCAGGGCUGCUGUUAACAGGCUGAAUAUUUACAGGUUUAAUAAUGGCACCAAAUCCCUUUCUCUGAAGUUGUUACCUACAAACCUGGAGCUGAGACAGUGAGCCAUAUAAUCAAAAGCUUUGCAAAAAAGAGGAAGCAAAGAGAAAAUGUGAACCUUCAGUUCUCUGGGGAUAAGAUCUAUUGUCUGGACCAAAAGUUUCACACUGUUCCUCUUUUGUCACUGCCCUUUUCCUCCAUCAGUGGAGUCACUUUAAGCUGCAUUUAGGAACAUAGGAAUCUGACUUAUACCAAGAGAGUCAAUUGGUCCAUUUAGCUGAUUAUUGACUACACAGACUGGCAGUGGCUCUUGUCAGGCAACAGUCUCGCCCAGCCCCUACCUAGGCUUUGUACCCAUAGCAGGUAUCUAUGAUUGAAUCAUCUGUACACACCAACAUUUCCUCAUCUAGUUGUAAUAGAUUGAAAUCCUAACCUCACUGAAUUCAAUAGGGCUUACUUUUGAGCAGACGGGGUUCAGAUGGCACUGCUACUUGCUACACAUAGCAAAAGAUAAGCUAACAACAUUUGCAAUCCUACAUGAAGGGAAAUUGAACCCAUGUUAUCAUUUCCAGAAGUGAGUAAAUUACUCCAUGCAGGACACUGGGCAAUUCAUACUAUGAAGUAGUGUCGGGCAGCAGAAAACAUGGCAUAGAAUUGUUCUUAUAAGAGGGAGUUCAUGCAAGAUCACCUAUUGUCUGUUAACUGAAGUUUGAUCUAUGUAGGCGCUUCCUAAUCCUUCUCUCUCAUUAAUAACCAAUGUAAACAGUUUUGUGUGCUUUAGUUGAGAUUUGAUUUAGAGAGGUACAUGGUGCGGAGGAAGACGUUGGUUCACUCAGUUAAUUUUAAUUGUAUAUAAGUAGUUGCAGAACUGAUCCAGGGAUUGAAGGGAGAAAAAGGAAGGAAAGUAUGUUGGCGAUGAAUGGGUCCUAACAAAUAAGCAGGCAUUUACCAUAGGUGGAUUAUUUGCAGAAGGAGGGGAAAAUGUUGCUGCAUAGUAUGAACUUGUCCUAUUUUCAGACGGCUGUUAAGUAAGCCUCCAAUGACUAACUGAACUUUUAACUAAAGACUGCAAUAAUUCACUUAUUCAUUCAUCUGCUGUGUAUAUAUUGUCAUUUAUUACCACAUAUUUUGUAUUAUGUCUCAUUUGCUCCAUCUCCUAUCAGAGACAGUUGAGAUGGAUGAAUGGCACCAAAUCUCUCAUUCCUGUUUGUCUGACAAUUCUGCGUGGAAUAUUCAGGGGAGGGGUAUACAUGUAUAUAUCCAGUUGGGAAGCAUGUGGUUGCAAGUGGCUACAUACUCUGCUAUAUCCUCUUAUGAAGAAAACACAAAAUAUCUUUAACUGUGCAUAGGCUUCCUCAGUUGACUGGGCAAUUGUGCUUUCAGGCUAAAGGGAAGGAAUAUACAAACACAGUAAGUUCCAAGCUGAAGGAAACAAGCAAGCUCCCCUCUCCUCUUCCAUGAACAUCUUCCAGUUUCAGUUGGAAAUAAUACCA